CCAAAUGCUUUGAUGAGGAAUAGUAGGAUAUAGAAGGCAUUCAGAGAGCCGCUGGCUGGUGAAAAGCGGUUGCCCGGUAUAUGUGAACUCGCCUCUGAGCAGCGUGCUGAACAGCCAGUAGGCAUCGCCGGUUCCAACCGUUAUAUUGGGAAGAUAUCAGUUGUUUCAACUCGUAUCGGUAGUGAGUGCACGCGGUUAUGGCGUGAAUUAGAGUGGUACCACGGAGUGUCUAUGACCCUUCGUCUCUAUC
rnacentral:ncRNA from 1 species